CCCCCAAGCACAACUAGAAACCACUAGAAAAACAUAAAAAUGGUCUGAUUCAUGCUGGAUAUCAGAGGAAAUCAUCUUAUCCCCUCUGAUACGCAAUCUAUGAAUGUAGAAAAUUUUGGCUGACUCAUGAGAGUCCCAGAAUGGCUCUAGAUGUUGACAGAUAUAUUAAGAAGAGCCAAGCAAUUUUUGUACCAACGCAGAGGCAGGGGAGAUGUGUUCAUUAGUUGUUGGUGAAAUUACUGAAAGUGCUGCAAUAAAGUUGGGUAAACUUUUUACCUUCGCUAAUCACGGGCUUACCUGGGUCACAAGCAUUAGUCAUGGAUAUUCAUUGCAAACUGCAAGCUCAUAAAAGACAGCAUAUGGCAGCCCCGAAUUUCUUGCUAUAUAAAGUUAAAUUCACAGUAAUAACAUCUGUGCAGAAUUUAGAGCCCCACCAAUUAAAGUGAGGUCAACGUGCUGAGGCAGAGAUUGAUGGCAUUCUGCAAAUCUUAAAUGACAAGUUAAAGAGGUAUAAAAUAAACAAACAACUUUAUUUCUUAUUAAAGAGGCGACAAGAGGGGUGAGAAUGCUGAGAGCUCAGUAAUGAGGGCCAAGAGGAGCAGGGCAAUGCUGUGGGUUGUGGCUGGGUUGUAACUCAGCAACGAGGGCUGCACCUGGAGCGGGCUCUUGCUGCCUUUUCUUGCUGGUACAAUACAAGUAGCAAAUGAAAAUUGCUGGGCAGGACCCUGAAACCCCAACCUGUCAAAUUUGGGCUACAAAAACGGUGAAAGAAGAAGGGGAAGACACAAGAGGAGAGGCUGAGGUCACUUGAUCUGCUCAGCUGGAGAGGAGACUGAGGGGAGGCUCAUCCUGCUCUACAACUUCAAGAGGGGAAGAGGAGGGGCAGGUGAUGUAACUUUUCUAAAAUGAUUUCUGCCUUGAGGUCUUCAGUGUGUGAUGCAACAUUUACAGGAAGAAAGAGUUAAAUUGCAAGUGGUGAGUAAAAUCAUCGUAAUUGGGCUGACUCCACCACGGAGCUCUUCCUUUGAGUCAGUUUGUCUGUCAUGGGGCACUUGAGAUUUAAGAAGUCCUUGUCAAUGAAGGCAAAACUACUGAAGAAAAAUUCCUGUUUAAAGAGGUGGAAUUUAGUAGGUACUUAUCCAAAUCUGCAAGUAAAACUUAAAGCUUCUUUAAACCAAUACGAAUUGAAAAAGAUGAAAUUACGGCUUUACCUGAAGCCUGGGUAGAUUCUGUCCUUUUAGAGCAAUGUGCCUUCAGGUCAUUAUCCAAAGGGCUCCUGCUCAGACUUUCCCAAUUCACAGCCAGGAUUUUUGCUCAUGGUUUUCCACAAUGCUGCACAUGAAUGUCUGAAGCAACAUUUCCAACUCUACAGCAGGGUAGGGGGAAUGGGAAGGAAAGGGAAUAUAUGUUUUGCUCAGUUGUGAAGCUGGAGACAAGGAAACUUGUGCUUGUUUGGGUUUUUUUCCCAUGCAGUGAGAAAAACAUGCAAAUGAAGUGUGAAAGAGAAAUUAUUCUGAAAGCAGACAGGAACAGCAUCACUGAAAGAACAGGGCCAUCAAGAGAAUCCCAAAUCCAGGGCACAACUGCGAGAAAUCCCAGAAAGCUGGCACUAACAACACCACAUUGAUUGGCAAAGGUGAUAUUUCAAAGGGAAUAAUCAAUAAAAAAUAAACCUUUCUUUUUUAAUUCUAGGCAGAUAAUUUGGAAUAGGAUGGGUGAAGAAUGCUAUUAUAUAAUUUCAAAAACCUGCUACUUCACCAUUUCUCAACAGCCAAAUCCUGCUCUUGUGUGUGUCCAGCCAGGCCAACCUAAAUCAUGUAUUCAUGAUUUAGUCAUAGAGUUUUCUGUUUCCAAAGCAGGAAAAAGGCUGAAAUACCUUGUUGGAAGGAGAAGCUGGGCAAGGGAAAUAUGUUCUGCUGACCAAAAAAUGAAACCAUGUGUGAACAAUGGAAGUGCUGUACUGGUUAUCUUUAAAUCGAUGUAUUUAUCAGCACCAUUUUUGUACCGAGGGUUUUCCUGGCAAGCUCUUUGUUAUCAUAAAGGAAACUCACAGCUGGCAAUUCUGUGUGGUGGUCAUUCACUACAAAUGAGAAUUUAGUAUCUUCUGGCAUUGUAUCAAUCUCCGCUAGAGCGUUAUGUAUAAACUAACUCUCAAUAUUGACUCAAAAUUUGGAACAGUAAGUGCAUUUCUCAGCUUAGAGAUGAGCCUGAUCUCUUUUUUCCUCCUGUAAAGAAUAAUAAUGUCUUAUUUAGAAGAACCUGUAAUGUUUCUGGCCUGCACUCAGUGUCUUGUACAGCUUAAGCACUGGAUUUUGUGAGGCAAGGAGAGAGACUUUUCUUAGUUUGGGAGUCAUCCAUGGAAAAAUAGGUAUGCCAUGGAAGUAUGCAGGAAAGGCAAUAGGUGAUGAUGUUCUUUCGACUGCACUUCCCAGCCAAGGUUGUAUCAUAUUUCUUGGAUACCAAGGAACUUGGAACUGGGGAGAUAUCUGAUGGAUUUACAAUUUGGAAAUGUUUUACCUCAAAAAACCGUGGUGUGCCAAAAGCCAGGAGUUUAAAGGAAGUGUCUUUGUUUUCAGAAAGAUUCUGCUGGAAGUAGGUGAACUCAGUUUGUGGAGAGCUCAGCUGGGUGCUAACGAGGACAUCCCUAGGGCAUGGCCCCAAAUUCUGCCAGGACUGGGUCAGUCUCCUCUGAGAAGAACCUUCUGCUUUUCAUAUUACUAAUCCCUGCAGCAAUUUUGGUGGCAGAAUUGCCCCAGAUCCAGGGAACAAGGUAGACCUGGAAGCUGUUGAGUAAAUGGAGACAAAACCAAUAUCCUUUGUGCUGUCCCCAUUGCUCCUGGCCAGCUCAGGCCCCAGGGAGGAGUGAAUGAUAACGAACUUACAUCCACCCUACAGGUUCUCAACGAAUAAUAGAAUAUGUGUCCUAAGUGAUCUCUGCCUUUAAGUGUUGGUUAUUUUAACACUUGGAUGUCACACAAAUAGAGUUCUUGCUCUAUUUUUUUUCUAAACAAGGAUUUUCAGCCUUUGAUAACUUAGGAGAAAUUCUGAAAAAUGACCAAUUCCGAUUUGCAAUAAAAAGACCCCCAACCAACCAAACCCACCCCAGCAACUUUCAAAAUGAAACAACAACAAAAAGGAAUUUCAGCCAGCUACUGAUGUAAUUCACAGGACUUUACAUAUUUAUGGUCAGUAAAGAGACCAUAAACUUUGAAAAGGUAGAGGGGCUGCCUGUUUGUGUGCAGAAAACAGCAGUUUCCUCGAUUUCUCUCCAUUGUCAUGCAGUUUCCAUGUGAGUUAUUGGUGGCACCUUGUUGUCAAAGAAGGAGGUGUUUCAGUGAAUGGUAAAACCUGUGCUACGUUUGUUUGCUGGGUAUUCAUUAGUUAAUUCUCAUAAGGGUGUUGUUCUAGGGGAGGCAAUGUUUGCCUUUGGCUGGGGGAGUUGCACUCAAGGUGGUGUUGGACCAGCAAAUCCUAACGCUAAAAUUCAAAAUCUAAAAAUUUCACAUGGAAACGUUCAUUACGACUCAAUUUUGCUUUUUUCUCAAAGGUGCCUGUACUCUGACAGCCGCAUACCAGGAGCUGAGAGGAGCCUGGCCAGCACCACACAUGAUCAGAAAUAGAAAUCCUGAGCUCAGCCAGUAGUGACUGGAAGAGUUUUGGCUGGAUGGUGCACAGGAAGCUUUGUGUAGUCACAGGUCGUGGUAGAAAAGUUUGCCAAGGCAAAAAAAUAACCCACCUUAGAAACGCUCUCAUUGCAUUGAGCUGCGCUGGGGAUUUAGUUGAUUCUUCUUAUUUCCUUUUUAUUUCUGAAAAAACAAGGAUUGAAGACUCUCCAGGUUAUUAUUAAUAAUGACUAUAACAUAAUAAUUCUGUAUACAAUUUUAUUCAUGGUUUAAUAUACAGUGUAUUUUAUACACGCACAAUAUUGUUUUAUACAUGCACAAUAUUAUUUUAGACAUGCAUAAUACUAUUUUAUACAUACAUAGGUGUAACCAUGUCCCAGUGCCCUGUUCAGGAGAUACAUUCCUGCCUUCCAAGCUCCUCAAAAUGGGUUCAACCUGUGUGGCCCUGAGCAGAAUGGCAGACAGGCAUUUUUUAUUGCUGAUUCCAACUCUCAUAAAUUCUUAGCUUGCUUAGAAUUUGCCAGAUUAAAUGAAAAGUUACUGUAAUUAGGGAUUUAUUAAAACAUGAAUCCUUGACCCAACAGAAUAUAAUAACUCAUUUGUUUCAAAUAAGGCCUCUUUAAUUGUUCCAUCAUUGGCCUAAGCAGCCCGUGCAGUGCAGAGUCACGUGUGUUCUCCAAAUCCACUUGCAAAAUGCUCUGUGAAAUUUUUGAUCCCCACACCACUCUAUAGGCAGAAGCCCCUAAAACAAAAGUGUGUCAUUUUAAUUAAAAAUUCAAGUGCUGAAAGCCCUUAUUAUUCUGCACUACAAAGCAAAGUCUGUGAAAACACUGGUUUUAUAUAUAAGGUUCUAUUUUAACUUUUUGUGACCAACCUUCCCUCUUUGUAUCUUCAAAACCAAUAGUUAUUGAUUUACAGUCUUAUAAAACAAGACUGUAAAAUCUUGUACCAUGGAACUAUAAAUAGAUAUUUUAAAAAUAUAUGAAAAUUGCUCCCAAAUCAGGUCUAUAUAAGGCACUAAUCAGCAGAGAGCCAUUUUGCAGGGGAAUAGAAACUGCAGAAAAUAAUUUCUAUUGAAAAUGCAAAGAAAUCUGAGACUACACACAAACAAUGCAGCCAGAAUUAAGGAAUUACCCAUUCCUCCUCCCCAUCUUUGAAAUAAGCCUUCUCUUUUUUUUUUUUUUAAUUGGUUGGCUGUAGAAAGCAUAUUACUAUAUUUGGGUCCUGUUUCCCUAGUAUAAGAAUAGUCCUACAAGGAAUUCCCAGUAAAACAGUGUUGCAGUUCUACAGUAUAUCAAAAAAAAAAAAAAUACCAUUGGAAAGUGUUAUCCAAUGGGCAGAUGUUAACUUAAAGUGCACAUUGUUUGGAAAAGGAGUUAAUUAACAACUUAUUAAUUGGAUAGAAAGUCUGAAACUGUUGUACUUCUAGCAAAUACAUAAUUUUCUUCAAGUAUUAUUAAAGCGUUUUUGUUGUACCUAUUAAA